ACAUGCCUAUAGCAUAGCGUUAAUGCACCGAAUCCCAUUAGAACUCCGUAGUUAAGCGCGCUCAGUCUAGAGUAGUAUUGGGAUGGGUGACCGCGUGAGAAGUCCUAGUGUUUUACAUGCC
rnacentral:rRNA from 1 species